rnacentral:rRNA from 1 species
CAGUCGCCGCGGUAAUACGUAGGGUGCGAGCGUUAAUCGGAGUUACUGGGCGUAAAGCGUGCGCAGGCGGUUCGUUAAGACAGAUGUGAAAUCCCCGGGCUUAACCUGGGAACUGCAUUUGUGACUGGCGAGCUAGAGUAUGGCAGAGGGGGAUGGAAUUCCACGUGUAGCAGUGAAAUGCGUAGAGAUGUGGAGGAACACCGAUGGCGAAGGCAGCCCCCUGGGCCAAUACUGACGCUCAUGCACGAAAGCGUGGGGAGCAAACAGGAUUAGAUACCCCUGUAGUCCCUGUCUCUUAUAA